GUUAUUGGCGCUAAAGAUGACUCGUGACUCUUCAACGCCUGCGGUCCAAUCUAUCUGCCCUACUCCACUCCCCACGUCAUAAUGUUUGUGUUUCCAUGUCUUUAGCGGUCGGGGGAGAUGUGGGAGAGACGGUCAGCACAACCUCAUCAUUACCGAACGUUCCACUGGGUCAACAGGGAUGUGACCGCCGCUGAAUCAUCAAACCACGCCGGCCCGCUAAACCGGCUCCUCCAUAUCGCAGUUAUGAGGUCAUGCGCCGGUCGCUUCUGAUUGGGCGAGAGAAACGCUGAGGUCGGCUGCUUGUGAAAACAGUCUGAAGGGAGGGAGGCGACUGCUGACAUGGAGAGAUAGCGGCGGGAGGUUUUAAUGAGAGAAACACGCCGGGAACGUUCAACAAGUAUGUCAGAACAUUUGUCCAGCUGAGAUAAACAGCGACACUAUCUUUGGACAAGACGACAACUGUUCAUCAACCCACUCUACUAUUUUGUCUCAGAGGAGAAGAAAAAUGGCCAGCUGUGAAUGCUAGAGUAGUCCCAGCACUGGUGGCUAACCAUGACCCUGACAUUGAUCACCACAGCUUCACAGCAGUGCAGCUGGAUCCCAUUCCGCUGAUCAGACUCCACUGAUUCCUACACCUGGGUUCUAGUCUGCGCUGCCAGAUGGUUGCUUUGCAUCCUCGCAGUUUUUUCCCCUGCGCUUGAGGGUAUUUCCCGUUCCGUGUUCUGGUAUCGCCGCCCUUGGUUCUGCGUACCUUUUCAUCUUUUGAAUUCCUGUGUAAUCG